CCUGCCCCUAGAGGUGUUACAGGUAUGGCCAUUGUGUCACACGUGCGAUCAGUAGGUGGCAGAAAGAAGAGAGAUUAUGUCUGUACUCAGUGUUCUGACCCAUGAACAUCUAAAUGAUUAGUAGCCAGCCUAA